CAGUCCAUAGCAUCAGUGCCUUUGUCUUGCAGGAACUGCUGACACACUCCAGCCACAUGAGGUCUAGCAUUGUCCUGCAUUAGGAGGAACCCUGGGCCAACUACACUGGCAUAUAGUCUCACAAGGGGUCUGAGGAUCUCAUCUCGGUACCUAAUGGCAGUCAGGCUACCUCUGGCAAGCCCAUGGAGGGCUAUGCGGCCCUCCAAAGAAAUGCCACCCCAAAAUGGGUCAUGCUGCAGGAUGUUGCAAGCAACACAAUGUUCUCCACAGUGUCUCCAGACUCUGUCAAGUUUGUCAGUGUGAACCUGGUUUUAUCUGUGAAGAGCACAGGGUGCCAGUGGCGAAUUUGUCUUGGUGUUCUUUGGCAAAUGCCAAACGUCUUGCACGGUGUUGGGCUAUAAGCACAACCCACACCUGUGGAUGUCUGGCCCUCAUACCACUCUCAUGGUCUCUGUUUCUUACUGUUUGAGCAGACAUAUGCACAUUUGGGGCCUGCUGGAGGUCAUUUUACUGUGCUCUGCCAGUGCUCCUCCUGUUCCUUCUUGCACAAAGACAAAGGUAGCAGUCCUGCUGCUGGGUUGUUGCCCUACUACAGUCUCUUCCAUGUCUUCUGAUGUAUUGGCCUGUCUCCUUGUAACACCUUCAUGCACUGGACAAUACGCUGACAGUCACAGCAAACUUUCUUGCCACAGCUCGCAUUGAUGUGCCAUCCUGGAUGAGCUGCACUACCAGAGCCACUCGUGUGGGUUGUAGACAGGGCCGGCGCGUCCAUAGAGGCAACCUAGCACUGCCAGCAUUCAAAAGUGACCAAAACAUUAGCCAGAAAGCAUAAGGACUGAGACGUGAUCUGUGGUGAACACAGUGUCUUGCUAAUUGCCUAUAAUUCCCUCUUUUUGUCUUUUCCAUUUGCACAGCAGCAUGUGAAAUUGACUGUCCAUCAGUUUUGCUUAAUAAGUGGGUAGUUUGAUUUCACAGAAGUGUGAUUGACUUUGAGCUACACUGUGUUGUUUGAGUGUUCUAUUUAUUUUUUCAAGCAGUGUAUAAUGAUUCGGU
ensembl:processed_transcript